GUGGAUGAUAGAAGAAGUAAACAAUUAGGAACAUUUUACAUCGUUCAACAUUCGUUUCCAGUUUUAGAUAUACAAGUUCAUAACCAGAGUGUCUAUGUGAUGACUGAGAAUACGGUCAUAAAGAUCGCUGAUAUUGACCCAUGUCCCUCGAAUGUACUUUGCCUGGAAUGUAUGACAUCGGAAAAUCCAGCUUGUGGAUGGGACAUUCUAAUAGCUAGUUGUACUGUUAAUCCUGAUAACUCUACUUGGUGGCUGCCAUCUGUUGGAGGGCAAUGUCUUAAAGUCAAUGCAAAAGAAUUGGUGAUUGAUGAAACAACAGAUAAU